AUCAAAGAGGCAUGUGACGCAAUCGUCCGUUGGAAGAGGGGGCGUGUAAGAUAGGCGUGCCUUUUCUAUUCGUGUUAUAGUCCAAGCCAGUUAUAUUUCGCAUUCGACAUGAGGGGACGGCUCGACCCGCCCAUUCAAGGCUGGCUGAUCUCUGGCACGCUUUUGUUCAAACUCAAGUCAAGUAAGUCAUAAUCGCCUGCCUACCCUUUAGUUUAGCUACAACACUGUAGUAUGUGAAUAGUAGCAGGCAACACGAAUUUCGCUCCUCAUAUUGAUUUCUUUAUAUGUCUUUUAUUUACAAUAUUCAUGGUUUUGUCAGCCAGUAGUGGUAUUUAGGCUUCAAAGUAGAUACAUUGGUAUUUUAGUUAGCUUGUCAUAACUUGCGCAACGACUUCAGAUACGUGCAAAGUCUCGGGACAAGGCAGCAACUAGACUUUUGGAAGGACAGAUUUGACAUAACUUUCAGACUCAUUUUCACCAGGUUGAACUCUUCGAUAGCUUCUAUGUUCCUUCUAUAGGCUAGUGUUGGACAGUUCUUUUGGCGUAUGUGUCUGUUUGUCAUAUUCCCUCUGGAAGUCUAUGGAGAGAAGCUGUUCAACUUGGAUGUUAUCCUCACGCGACUCUGGAUUUAGUUACGUACUGUGAGACGUACACGCGUAACCCCAGAAGCCAGACGUUGAAUGUUGACUUUACGACAAGAAUAGUCGAAAACACCUGACUUGACCCGAUUUGAAUGCCUGUGCAAGGAUUUUGUUGGUUUCUGUGCUGCAGGCAGGGUUUCAAUUUGCUCGGACGGGACUAUGGGGAGAAAGAGGAGGAAGAAUCUUUUGAGUUGCGCAACAAGGAGGAUCUGACUUGCAACGGACGUGGUCCACUUGAGGUGACUCUCUCUCAGCCGACUCGCACAGCCAAUGGGACAAACGGACACAGUCUGUCAGAGGUUCCUGAUGAGAUGAAGAGUCUGAUCAUAGAGAAGAGCAAGAUGGGCCUGGAAGAAGACCCCGAGCUGCUUGUCAAAGGUGAGCCUGCCUGCCCGACACACUUCUACACCAUCCCUCUAUUCUCUCUCUCUCUCCUUUCUCUUUGUGUAGCUGAUGUGUUCCAGUCCCAGUGAUUUGCAUGUACAGUAAUAACAGUCUGUGGGAUGAUGACGUUCACUCAUCCGAGAGUGUUAGCCGAGCUUGAGCUCUGUGCAUGUUUGCGGUGUUAUCGCUGAAUAAGUAGACCAUACUGUACUACUGUACUGUACACUUCACUGUCCACAGCUAAGCCCUCACACACACACACACACACACACACACACACACACACACAACACACUACCCCCAGUAAUCAUGUAAUGAUGACCAUCAGCGGCAUUAAGAGCCUUGCGAGCCUGACGCUUUUUGAGGUGUGAUCUCACAGGCUAUUCAUGUGUGCUUUUCCUGCUACCGAAACGGUUGCAGUAAAAUGCCAGCGCUUGGAUAAGUUACGUCCUCUUUGGGAUGGCGGCAGCCUGAUCGGCUAAUUCGGACAGCAGUUACCAUGCAGCACCCCUGGCCGACUGGCUGGCUGCACCCCUCCUCCCUCUGUUCCGACGUCUGAGACCGGGCAGAGGGGCAGGCGAUGGGGUUGGGGGGGGGGGGGGGGGGGGGGGGGGGGGGUGCAUUCCUUCCCAAUCGGAGGACGGAUACUUCCCCUGGGCCCCUGGGGUGGCUGUGUGCCUUGGCAUUUCUUCUCUUCAGUCGGGCCGUCUUCCCCACCAGCCACCACCAUCUCCAGCACCACUGACGCUCCAGGACAUGUGAAGGCCUUGCUCUGUUCAUGCCCUUGUUGUGUGCAUGGAUAUAUCAAAUGUCCUGGUGCUAGGGUGUCCCUAGCUGUUUGGUGUGGUUUGGUGUGGUUUACAAUGGGACAUCCUCAGGCAACUGGGGCCAAGUGUCGCCUCGCAGUCUAAAAUAGGCCAUCAACCGUGCCUUAGACAGAGAGAGAGAGACAGACAGAGGGGAAAAGGUAGAGAGAGAGAGAGAUUGACGUAGCGAGGGAGUGAGAAACUCCUAGACAGAAUGCAGUGACGAGCUUAAAUUACAUUCCUCUGUUUGUUCAUUUUUAGCUACAUAUCACUUAGUACUCCAGUCAUUUGGAAAGUGAUUCAGUCUACUCAAUUGCAAUCGUUUCCCUUUCUGUUUGGAUCUCUGUCUAAUUCAGUUCAGCCCAUAAUCCUAGUGUUGAAGCUCAUUAAAGCUCUGCUCCCUUAUGGAUGACUGUUUGUUAUCAGAUGCUUUUUAAUCUCCUCCAAAUCUCCAGAACAAACAGAAGGUACACACAGAGAUAGAAGGACAGAACAGAACCAGAGGGAGACAGACUCCGGUGUUUGCUCAGUCUGUGUUUCAAGGGGCAGGGCCAGCGUUAGGGGUCUGGGGUCACAAAUGAAACAAAUUAAGGGCGAGCCGUGGCCCCCCAGGGGACGCAUUAGCAGGCCAGGGAGAUGGGAUCCAGAUGGAGGGCCGUGGGGGGGAGGGGAGGGGUAGGCAGGGGGUCCUGACCGGGACUCUUGUUUCACCCUUUCUCUCUCUCCCACUCAUUGCCUUUCCUUCUCUUUCUCUACUUCUCUCACUCUCUCUCUCUCUCUCUCUUUCUCUCCUCCCUCUUUCCAUCCAAAGUAGGCCGUCUCUCUAUCCCACUGUCUCAAAAAGAGCAGCUGCAGGACAUCCUGUGUGACUGACAGACGACCUGCCUCCCAGCUCUCCGCUAACCAGUCCACCCACACCCCUCCACCCCCCUACCCCCAACCCAAUCAUCCACCCACCCAAUCCUGUCCUGUCUUACCUCAUCGUUUUUUAUUUAUCCAUUUCAUGUUGGUUUUUAUGCUCCUGUUGAUGUGGUGUUAAGUACCUGGGGACUGUAUUGGGUGGGUUUAUGGUGUGUUCCAGGCUGCCACUAGGGAAAGGGGAAACAGAAUGAGACGUGUGUAGACUCCCACUUCGACUGCCCCCCUCCGGGUCUAUGGGUUGUAACAUGGGGGAUGGUAGCAAUGGGGGCUCUGCAUGUAGGGAAAACCACUUUACCAUAGGAAAAAGGGGAGUUGGUGCCGGGGGAGAGAUGAAAGAGGGAGAGACUGAGCGAAGAGAAAAGAGCUGUAGGGAAAGCGAGGGAGAGCUGACAGGUGGCAUGCAGCUUGCUAACCACAGAGGAAGCUGUGACGCUGGCUCGGUCGUCAGAGCUGUUCUAUGAAGUUAGCCCAAUGAACAUGGCACUGCUGUUCCCAUAAACUCACGCACACACACACACACACACACACACACACACACACACACUCAACGGAUGGCACAGCCACAUAACCCUGCCCCCGCCCUCACCAUAGCGCCCUGCUCCAGCUUUGGGCCAGGUGACCAGCCAGGGCCCUCUGCCAGCCUAUCCAUCACCCCUCACUGUGAACUCUGACUGCUCUCUCAUGUUUUACCCCUCCCUCUCACCGCCACCCCUAUCCAUCCCUUGCUCCCUCUUCCUCUCUCUCUCUGGGCAGCCCCUGGCCAGAGCUUGGCCAAACCCGGUUUAUUUACCCUCAGCUCUGUGAGAUUAAAUAUUUAGAAGGAACAGUUUGCACACAUAUUCUGUGUCCCAAAUGCCACCCUAUUCUCUAUAUAGUGCACUACUUUUGACCAGAGCCCCAUGGUCCCCUGGUCAAAGGUAGUGUACUAUACAGGGAACAGUGUGUCGUUUGGGACACACUCUGUGGGUUGCUGCAUGGCUGGUGUUUGGUAACACUACAGCCACUUUCCCUUCUGGACACGGGUAGUAGACUAUAUAUACAAAAGUAUGUGGACACCCCUUCAAAUUAGUGGAUUUGGCUAUUUCAGCCACACCCAUUACUGACUGGUGUAUCAAAUCGAGCACACCGCCAUGCAAUCUCCAUAGACAAACAUUGGCAGUAGAAUGGCCUCACUGAAGAGCUCAGUGACUUUCAACGUGGCACUGUCAUAGGAACGUCUAGGAGAAACAAUGGCUCAGCCACGAAGUGGUACAGGGCCCUGACCUUUGGGAUGAAUUGGAACACCGACUGUGAGCCAGGCCUAAUUGCCCAACAUCAGUACCUGACCUCACUAAUGCUUUUGUGGCUGAAUGGAAGCAAGUCCCCGUAGCAAUGCUCCAACAUCUAGUGGAAAGCCUUCACAGAAGAGGGGAGGCUGGUAUAGCAGCAAAGGGGGGACCAACUCCGUAUUAAUGCCCAAGAUUUUGGAAUGAGAUGUUCGACGGGCUGGUGUCCACAUACUUUUGGCCAUGUAGUGUACAUCCCCUUCAUGUAAAGCUGGACACUGCAGACCAGGAUCCUGUUCAGUAGAGACCAAACACAAACAGUUAUGAAAUGGAAAAUUACCAUUUUUAUUUUUACAAAUUCAGGUCAGUUUCACACCGUUUUGUCUCGUUCUAUGCCUACUGAACACCACCCAGUUCUGAGGACCAUGGUUAUGUGACAGGGGUGGAAUGGUGAAGGGAGCCAGGAGAAUGUAUCAGCCUUUCUUUCUUUCUCUCUCCCUGCCUCCUUCUCUGGGCGUUAAUGACAGAUCAGUCCACCAGUUCUCUUCCUGCAUCUCCACCACCAGCGACUGUUCUCCAACCUCCCGCUUUCUUCUUUGUGUGUUUUUUACAGCUGUAAUUAUCCUGGUGGCAGGCACACAGGCCUUAAUGUCUGACUAUACCAUUAGCUGCCG
ensembl:lncRNA